rnacentral:lncRNA from 1 species
GCCCCACGGGCCGCCGCACCACGCCCCCCCCAGACCGGGAAGGCGGGGUGUCUAGCCCGCAACGCUUCCUAGUUCCCAGCCUUCCACCUUGGAACUCGACCCUCUUUAGGCCCUCACACCUGAAAGUAGGGCGGGGGAGAGGGCUUCUUCCACUCAGGGGCUCCGAUCGCAGCUUCUUCCUCGUGACGGAGGAUUUUGCGACCACUCCAGGCAUGACUACCUUUCCAUUCACUCUCCUACCCUGGGGUCUCCGGCCGUGGCUAACGCGGCCGCCAGCCAAGAUCCUGCUGGGCCCCUUCCCGGAAAAGUUCCCAGCUCUCUACCCCAUCCUCCGCACCCAUCCUCCAAUGAUCCUGGGCCACAACCUGGUGAACCUUGAAAGACGGUAAGUUGGGCUGGGAAUAGGAUGCCUGCAGAUCCCGGUCGCAGCAAGAAGACAAGGCGGGCGGGUGGUGAACAGUGAGCCCUCGCGGCAUCACAUUGCUCCCAGGAGCUCGAAAACGGUUCCAAGUAAAGGAGCAUUAACUACUAGCAGCUGAAGCAACACUGUUGGAGCCAGGGACUUCGGUGGUGGAGGGCAGUGGGGCUGGUUGAGGUGGUACUUGGCACCUCUGCUGCGGAACAAGCCUCUCCCUCAUACCUACUCUGGCCCACAGACAGGACACCCAUAGCUGCUUCAUUUGGCGCUUGGAUAAAUAAGUCAAUCGUGGGACCAUUUAUUCACCUAAAUUGCGUAGGCCCUGAAAAAUGAAUGGCUCAUGUAAAGAUGCUCCAGAUAUUUCACUCCUGCCGCUGCCCACUAGGGCAUCCUGUUUAUACACCAUGUGCAUUAAGUGCAUCACUCCGUUCUUCACAAGCUUAUGAAGACCACCGUCUGCGGCAUCCUACAAGGAAGGAGAUGACUUCCAAACGGGCGAGUGGCUGAGUAAAAAGACCAUUAACUGGCAGGACUGGGGAAGAGCCCUAAUCUACCCCUCUUCACUGCCCUCUCCGGGUGGAAACAGACACAUGAGAGGCAAGUGUGGAGCCUGGAUUUGAACCCACAGCUGUCUGUUUCCAUUACACCACUAACUCAAGAACUUAGCAGAAUGAGAAAAGGAAAUACUUUGCCUUCUUUGGCCUCAAGUUCCAGUCAUCUCUGGGUCCAAACUUAGGAGUUGGUGUGAUUCACAGGAUUGAACUGGGGCCAUUAGAGAGAUACAUCUGGUGUCUUCUGAACAAUGAGCCUAGAUUCAUGUGCAGCUAAAAGAACAGGAUUCUAUUAACUUGAAUAUCCAUGAACUAAAAUCUAGGACAGUGAGAGCCAGCAUAUACUGAGUGCCCACAGGCACUGUCCUAAAUCUUAAGUAUCCUGUCAUCCCAACCCAGGGGAAAGUAGGCUCUACAUUUGUAAUUGCCAGGGCCAGCCCCUUGGCACACUACUCACUGUUCUCCAUCACCCACUGACUGAAAAAGGCACUGCCAAACCAAUGUCCAUGCAUGCUUUGUGGCUGCCUGAUGCUAUGGACACAAUCAUUUGUCUGAGGCACAGACCCUUUGAGGGUCUCUGGUGGGAAAAUGGAGGCAAUUCUGGUGCUCCAGAAACAAGUCUUCUAGCUUUUAGAAGAGUUGUAAAGAUCCCAGAAGAUCGGAAGUCUGAAGCAGGAAGAUCACAAAUUCGAAGCCAGCCUCAGCAACUUAAUGAGGCCUUGAACAACGUAGCAAGACCCUGCCUCAAAAAAAAAUUUUUUUUUGUUUUGGUUCUACUUAGUUAUACAUGACAGCAGAAUGCAUUUCAAUUUGUUGUACAUAAAUAGAGCACAAUAUCUCAGUUCUCUGGUUUUACUUUAUGUAGUGUAUUGCACCAUUCAUGCAAUUAUAUAUGUACCUAGGGUAAUGAUGUCUGUCUCAUUCCACCAUCUUUCCUGACCCAUGCCCCCUCCCCUCCCCACCCUCCCUUUUACCCAAAGUUGCUCCAUUCUGCCCCUCCCCCAUUAUGGAUCAGCAUCCACUAAUCAGAGAAAACAUUCGGCCUUUUGUUUUUUGGGUUUGGCUUACUUUGCUUAGUAUGAUAUUCUCCAACUCUAUCCAUUUACCUGCAAAUGCCAUAAUUUUAUUCUCUUUCAAUGCUGAGUACUAUUUUAUUGUGUAUAUAUACUAGUUUUUUUUAAAAAAAUUAUUCUAAUUUGUUAUAUAUAACAGAAGAACACAUUACAAUUCACACUACACAUAUAGAGCAUAAGUUUUCAUAUCUCUGGUUGUAUAUAAAGUAUAUUCACACCAUUGUCUUCAUACAUGUGCUUAGGGUAAUGAUGUCCAUCUCAUUUCACCAUCUUUUUUACCCCCUUGCUCCCUCUUUUCCCAUCUCUCCCCUUUGCCCCAUCUAGAGUUCAUCUAAUCUUCCCCCUCCCUACCCCACUAUGAAUCAGCCUCCUUAUAUCAGAGAAAACAUUUGGCAUUUGUUUUUUUGGAAUUGGCUAACUUCAUUUAGCAUUAUAUUCUCCAACUCCAUCCGUUUACCUGCAAAUGCCAUGAUUUUAUUCUCUUUUACUGUUGAAUAAUAUUCCAUUGUGUAUAUAUACCACAUUUUCUUUAUCCAUUCAUCUACUGAAGGGCAUCUAGGUUGGUUCCUCAGUUUAGCUAUUGUGAAUUGUGCUGCAAUAAACAUUGAUGUGGCUAUUUCCCUG